rnacentral:rRNA from 1 species
UACGGGGGGGGCAAGCGUUGUUCGGAAUUACUGGGCGUAAAGGGCGCGUAGGCGGUUCGGUAAGUCCCUUGUGAAAUCCCACGGCUCAACUGUGGAAUGGCGGGGGAAACUGCCGGACUUGAGUCCGGGAGAGGAGAGUGGAAUUCCCAGUGUAGCGGUGAAAUGCGUAGAUAUUGGGAGGAACACCGGUGGCGAAGGCGGCUCUCUGGACCGCGACUGACGCUGAGGCGCGAAAGCUAGGGGAGCAAACGGG